GAUGAACGCUAGCGGCAGGCUUAACACAUGCAAGUCGAGGGGUAUAGGAAGCUUGCUUCCUAGAGACCGGCGCACGGGUGCGUAACGCGUAUGCAAUCUACCUUUUACAGAGGGAUAGCCCAGAGAAAUUUGGACUAAUACCUCAUAGUAUCUUUGCCUGGCAUCAGGUGAUUUUUAAAGUUCCAACGGUAAAAGAUGGGCUUGCGUCCUAUUAGCUAGAUGGUAAGGUAACGGCUUACCAUGGCGACGAUAGGUAGGGGUCCUGAGAGGGAGAUCCCCCACACUGGUACUGAGACACGGACCAGACUCCUACGGGAGGCAGCAGUGAGGAAUAUUGGACAAUGGGCGCAAGCCUGAUCCAGCCAUGCCGCGUGCAGGAAGAAGCAUCUAUGGUGUGUAAACUGCUUUUGUACGGGAAGAAACACUCCUACGUGUAGGAGCUUGACGGUACCGUAAGAAUAAGGAUCGGCUAACUCCGUGCCAGCAGCCGCCGUAAGAC
rnacentral:rRNA from 1 species